rnacentral:rRNA from 1 species
UGGCGGACGGGUGAGAAACACGUGGGUAACCUGCCUCAUAGAGGGGAAUAGCCUUUCGAAAGGAAGAUUAAUACCGCAUAAGAUUGUAGUUUCGCAUGAAACAGCAAUUAAAGGAGUAAUCCGCUAUGAGAUGGACCCGCGUCGCAUUAGCUAGUUGGUGAGGUAACGGCUCACCAAGGCGACGAUGCGUAGCCGACCUGAGAGGGUGAUCGGCCACAUUGGGACUGAGACACGGCCCAGACUCCUACGGGAGGCAGCAGUGGGGAAUAUUGCACAAUGGGGGAAACCCUGAUGCAGCAACGCCGCGUGAGUGAUGACGGUCUUCGGAUUGUAAAGCUCUGUCUUCAGGGACGAUAAUGACGGUACCUGAGGAGGAAGCCACGGCUAAGUACGUGCCAGCAGCCGCGGUAAU